AUGGCCGCUGGUCGGUGUUGACGCAAUGUGAUUUCUGCCCAGUGCUCUGAAUGUCAACGUGAAGAGAUUCAUCAAAGCGCGGGUAAACGGCGGGAGUAACUAUGACUCUCGGGAUGGGAGUAUCUUGUGUGAUUGGCUGAGUUUUGCUCGGACUCAUAGUUGCUGGGGGGUCGGUGCGUGAUUCUAAAAUCCAGGCAGGAAAAUUUUCCAGAAUCACGGGAAACACUCCGAUCCCUCACGGUUCGUGCGCCUCCUCGCGGCGCCCGCUGGAAACGUGUCGGCCUGGAACCGGCUAAGUCAUGAACCGAAUCGAUCGUAAUGGAUCGCCAGUUGGUGAAAGCGAAAACACUAGCUGUGUCAACCCUGCUACCGCUGUGGCGGGGGGUCUGACUGGACAAUGCCGCGGAGCAAGUCCUCCGAGCACGGUCGAGCCAUUGGCUUCCGGCUCCGGGAUUCCAACAAUCCCCGUAAACUUCCAGUGCGAAGUAGAAGGUUGUUUCAAAACCUUCAAGACGAAGCAGGGGCGCGGCCAACAUGUCCGGCACGCGCACCCUGAAGCAUAUAACAACUCAAUCGUCACUAGCAGGAAAAAGGCUAGGUGGUACGAUGAGGAGAAGUUGAGGCUAGCUGCCCAGGAGGCGAGCCUAGAGCUCGAGUGGGUGGCACGCAAGAGUCGAGGCGAGAAGGUAAAGGGCCUGAAUGAGAAUCUACAGGCCGCCUUCCCAGAAAGAACCCUCGACGCUAUCAAGUCACGCCGUCGAAAUCCUGAGCACAGGCAGAUGGUUGAGGAGGCCAGCAAGCGGUUGGAAUUAAGAGCAUCCACCGUGGUAACGGAGGUUCGGCAACCCUCCUCUGAUGACCAUCCUGAACAGGAUGAAUGGCUAUGCCCUCAAGGCCAGGAGGAAGGGCAACCUGACUG
rnacentral:ncRNA from 1 species